GAGAAGAAAAAAGCAAGCCACUCCAGCAUCUUUGCCAAGAAAACUCCAAAUUGAGUCACAAAGCGUUGGACACUACUAAAACGACCAAAGGACAUUUUUUUACAGUUUAGCAUAUUAAUUAGCAUAUUAAUGCUUCUUUACUUCUGUUACCAGACCUUUUGGGUUUUUUGUAACAAAUAGAGGGUAGGAUGCAGAAAUCAAUUAGUCAAAGACAGACUGCCACUUUGCACUAUUCUGGACAAUAAACAUUUUUCAUCCAUUUGUUUUUUGCUGUGUGGAGAGAUAAGCCAAGUUUUCUUGAAUAUGUAUCUCAUUUAGGAAGCAUUGCACUUUGGGGGCUUAAUGCAGUCAGCACAGUGUCAGUCACAAGCAGGAGCAUAUGGAAAAACUCAACAUAUCAUUUGAACUUUACAUUGGUCAUCUUUUAUGACAGCAUCAAAUACCUUUGGGCCCCAGGAUUCCAUCACUGAGGAGAUCAGUCACUGUGGAGAAAGAGCCCACUCUCCUUGCUACCACCAGUGCUACCGCUGAACAAGAUCUUGGAAAGCAGUAGUUUUACAGGCUGUUCAUGCACAGACAACCAAACUGGCCAUCCACAUUCCUCAGCAUCUUCAUCAGUCUGGAUGACUGCUUCAGCUAAGGCUUAGUGUGCUGGAACUGACUUUGCAGAUCUUGACUUACAGAAAAGAACCAGUGAACUAUACCUUGGAACAAAGAAUUUGAAAAGAAAGAGGAAAAAGGCAGUUUGGCAAAACCAACACCAACGGAAUCUGAUGUUAUACGCAAUAAAGUCUAUAC